rnacentral:rRNA from 1 species
UACGAAGGGGGCGAGCGUUGUUCGGAAUUACUGGGCGUAAAGGGCGCGUAGGCGGCCCUCUUUGUCGCGUGUGAAAGCCCCGGGCUCAACCUGGGAACGGCGCGCGAAACGGGGGGGCUGGAGUUCGGGAGAGGAGCGUGGAAUUCCCAGUGUAGAGGUGAAAUUCGUAGAUAUCGGGAGGAACACCAGUGGCGAAGGCGACUACCUGGCCUGUUUCUUGACGCUGAGGCGCGAAAGCUAGGGGAGCAAACGGG